rnacentral:rRNA from 1 species
UACGUAGGCAGCGAGCGUUGUUCGGAGUUACUGGGCGUAAAGCGUGCGUAGGCGGUUUUCUAAGUCUGGUGUGAAAUCUCCCGGCUCAACUGGGAGGGUGCGCUAGAAACUGGGAGGCUGGAGUGCGGGAGAGGUAGGCGGAAUUCCUGGUGUAGCGGUGAAAUGCGUAGAUAUCAGGAGGAACACCGGUGGUGUAGACGGCCUGCUGGACCGUAACUGACGCUGAGGCACGAAAGCGUGGGGAGCAAACAGG